CGCCUUUUAGAGAAAAAGGUUUUGACUUUAGCUUGUGCUGCAAUUUUGGAGAAGUGGGAUGAGGUAUGUGGGAAAUGGGUAACUGCUGUUAGGUGAUUUUUCUAUGAAACUGUGGUCAAUUUGAUUGGGGAAGUGGCUGUGGUGGGUUGAUAAGAAAGGGGCUAAGUGUGCUUUAGGUUAUUGUUGGUUCUUUUUAUUCAUGAUCUGAAAGGAAAUUCUUUAUUUUUUGCUUUGAUAUCUUAAUGGGUAUUUCAAGUGUGGUUUUGGUUUUGAGGAAGUAACUUAAACAUAUCGAGAACUUGUAGUAGUAGAUUGAACCUAAGCUAUUCUACAUUGUUUUGGCAUGAUACUUAGUAUUCUUGUUUGAAAUAACAGGAGGAAGGAUGUUGUAUCUUUCUUGGGUAAGUUGGCCAAUGAAGGGAAGGAUGUUGUAUCUUUUUUGGGUAAGUUGGCCAAUGAAGAGAUGGUCAAUGCAAUGCAUGUUCUGCUUUUGUAUCUACGAAGUGCUCCAGAUGAUGAAAAACCUUUGGUUGCCAUACUUAUGCUGCACUUUGAUCUACUAGUAGAACCUCGGAAGUACAGCAUAUACAGAGAGAGGCUGUCGUGGCAAUUUCUGCAUAAGUUAUGCAAAUGAGAGGUUGCAACGACAUUUCAACUGGCAUCUGUUAAAACUGGAGCAGGAAGUGAGCAUCACACAUGGACCGUAUCUUUAGUAGUUUUGUUUAGUAUUUAUAUGCUGGGGAUUGUCGCUAAAAGCAUGAUAUUCUUUUUUGAUUCAUUUUUGUCGUCAUUAUUUAUUAUGCAAGAUUAUUUAUUCUCUCAUUAUGUGUACUAUAAAAAAAAAUAUUUAUGUCAUUCUUGUGGAAAACGUUGAUAAAUGUAUUUCAUUUUCAUAUUAUUAUAAUAUUUUGACAUUAA